CUGCUUGAAGAUGAGGAGAUCGCGUCGUACAUCCUCGCCGGCCUCGACAUUGAAUACAACCCCGUGGUGUCCUCCAUCACGGCCCGACCAAAACCGAUCUUUCUUGGUGAGUUGUUCACGCAACUUUCGGCCUUUGAGC